ACCAUCUAAUUGCAAAGGUUUUCCAACCAUACUGGCUAAAAAAAAGAGGUCUUCCUUAACAAACGAAGUAGGCAAUAGAUUUGGAAAGGAAAUCUAAGCAAUAGCUUAGGUAGUGUCAACAUCAAUUCUGAAUCUAGAGUCAUAAAUAAGAGGUCUCAUCACAUAUGAUUUGUCAUCCCUUACCUUCAGAUAAUGUGAACUCUUUAACAUGAUUUUAACAAAGUCUUUCUGCUUUCACACCUUAUUAAUACAUCUCUAUUGUGAAAGAAACUAACUUGACAUUCGCUCUUUGUUCCACAUGCAGGGGAUAAUCCUUCGUAGUGCAUCUAUUGAUGGCCAUAUUUGAGAGAAUUUUGCAAUGAUGGCAUAGUUCGAACUCUCUAUGGAAUCCAUACGCCCUACUUCAACCAACAUCCAUCUUAAAACGUGUUCUCUAUUGAUAAUGCUUGUUUUCUUUAUUGGAAUAAAAGUGUUUUCCUCUUUGUCUGUAAUAUUUGAUGUUUGUACAAAAUUAAGCAAAUUGUCAACAUUUGCGCUAGGCAAGUUGCUAGGCCCGUAAUUUCUGAAAGUAUUUGUGGUGCGGUGUUAGGGUUCUUAGAAUGGUAUAAAGAAGGGAAUUGAUCAGGGAAUGUUAAACCAAUCUGACCAGCUUCACCUCGGAAGGAGCAAGGAGACCAUCCAGUGGCCAGAAUGAUCAUCUCAGGCUAGAGGUUCGGGAUUUGGC
rnacentral:lncRNA from 1 species